rnacentral:misc_RNA from 1 species
GAUGAAGAACGCAGCGAAAUGCGAUACUUGGUGUGAAUUGCAGAAUCCCGUGAACCAUCGAGUUUUUGAACGCAAGUUGCGCCCGAAGCCGUUAGGCCGAGGGCACGCCUGCCUGGGCGUCACGCAUCGCGUCGCCCCCCACAAUUCUCCGUAAAGGGAACAUGUGUUUUGGGGGCGGAUAUUGGUCUCCCGUGCUCAUGGCGUGGUUGGCCGAAAUAGGAGUCCUUUCGAUGGACGCACGAACUAGUGGUGGUCGUAAAAACCCUCGUCUUUUGUUUCGUGCUGUUGCUCGCAAGGUAAACUCUUUAAAAACCCCAAUGUGUCGUCUCUUGACGACGCUUCGACCGCGACCCCAGGUCAGGCGGGACUACCCGCUGAGUUUAAGCAUAUCAAUAAGCGGAGGA